CAGCCGCCGCGGGAAUACGUAGGUGGCAAGCGUUGUCCGGAACUAUUGGGCGUAAAGGGCUCGCAGGCGGUUUCUUAAGUCUGAUGUGAAAGCCCCCGGCUCAACCGGGGAGGGUCAUUGGAAACUGGGAAACUUGAGUGCAGAAGAGGAGAGUGGAAUUCCACGUGUAGCGGUGAAAUGCGUAGAGAUGUGGAGGAACACCAGUGGCGAAGGCGACUCUCUGGUCUGUAACUGACGCUGAGGAGCGAAAGCGUGGGGAGCGAACAGGAUUAGAUACCCCCGUAGUCCCUGUCUCUUAUAC
rnacentral:rRNA from 1 species